rnacentral:lncRNA from 1 species
GUACCAUGAGGACUGGACACGAGCCCACUGGGGGCUGUGGCUGUGAUGGCCCAGGAGCUCGGGGCCAGACUCUGCCAGGAGGGGGACCAGCACCUGGCCCUGGGGGAGCCCUCGCUGCCAUGGCUUUCUACCUGGUAGCCUUCAGCUGCCACGCCCCCUUGGCUGUGCGCAGCUUGAGGAGUGCCCUAGCUGAGGCCUGGGAGCAGGGACAGCCGGAUCCCCACUGUGCACUGGGACAGCAUGGCUGUGGUCUCCCUGACGGCCACCCUGGCCUCUGCCUUCCUGGGCGCCCUCUUCCCAGACCAGCCAGCCAUGGUGCUGCACGGGCUGGCCAGGCUGCUGGCCCGCGGGCACCACGAGGAGGUGGCUCUGCACUGUAGUGAGCUGCUGGACUCCUGCUCCCAGCCCAUGCUGGAGCUGGAGCCAUGCCCUAGCCUGGGUGCUGUCUGGGCCGCGGGCCACGGACGGUGUGGCCACUACCUGCGCGCCUCUACCUCCAGUGCCAACCACACCCUGGCCUUCGUCCACGUCCACCAGUGGCCCUACCUCCCUGCGCUGCUCCACGCCAUGCAGAGCCGCAUCUCGGAGCUGCCGGGGGCUGGGGAAAGGGACUGCUGGCAGCUCCUGGCAGCCCUGGAGCCCGAGGACAUCCCGAGUAAGACCCUGUUACCCGAGGCACUGCUGCAAAGCAGCAGGUAUGCGGACCACCUGGAGAUGUACAGCCAAGCCCUUCAGUUGGCCCCUGCUUGCAACAGCAAGGUGAGCGCCUGGCCACCCUGCUGCUCACGCGCGCCACCGCCGCCUUCUUCCUGGAGGGCCGCGCAGAGGACAUGCUGGGGGAUCUGCACGACGCCUUCCAAGGGAACCCCUCCGCCGCGCGCCCCGCUGUUCCAGGCCGUGCUGUCCGUCGGAAACCAGGAGCGGGUCCGGGCCCGGGCCCAGGCGGCCGCGGACCUGGGCUUCACCCACUUCCAGGAGGCCUUACAGAGCCGCCCCGAGCUCCGCGAAGAAGCGGAUCGCGAGCUGCUGGCACCAGUGACCUGCGCGCUCUGA